UAACUGGCCACAUUGAAGAA
rnacentral:misc_RNA from 1 species